rnacentral:lncRNA from 1 species
AGCUGUGUCCUGGCUCAGACGGACAGCUCUGACUCGCUCUCUCUUUCUCUGGGCGCCUGCGCGCCUACCAUGUCAAGCCAUUUGAGGCGAGCCGAGCCCCAGAGCCACGUCUCUGGUGCACAGAGUUAACAGGGCAGUUAUACCUUUUACAGACAACUGUGGCUCCAAGUCAAGUAUGAACUUUCACAAACAGUUUAUAUAACAAGUGGAGGUGUGCGCCUGCGUGCCAAACUUGCUGACUCAUGCAGGCCUGGAUACCCGCCUCAGCCUAUUCCUUGACCGAAGCACUUCCAGGGCAGGAAACUGAAGCUCUUGGGAAGGCGGAAGUUGCACGUGGUCUCACAGUCAACUGUGCCAGAAUAGGAGGCCAGGAACCAUCUCUGCUGGAGGAAGACCCACCACGCAUCCCUUCAAGAGUGCCAAGGUCCAGAGCAAGCGCUUCCCUUCUAUGGGCACAGGAGGGCUGUGGGAGCCCACAAAUGUGCUUCUGGCCAGAGUGGGAUCCCCGAGGAAGAUGUUAAGACCUCUAAUAAUAUUUAAGAGCAAAAUUAGCACAGCUCCAGCCCAUGGGCAAGUUAGAGACAGGAGUAGUGUCUGUGGAGUGGAGGAAAGCAGAGGCUGCCGCUGACCAUCCUGCAGCCCUCGCUCUGGCUGCUCACAGCUCUCCACCUUCUCUGGACUUCGUCACUUCAGUAUGUGAAACAACCAUUUCAACCAGCUUGGACAAAAGAGAGAAGCCAAGAUGGGGCUGAGAAACCAAUGCAGGCAGGCCCAGGGACCCAGGAGUCAGGGACCAGGUGCUACCAGAUGCUUGCUCCGACUCGUGUUGCUGCUGUCUUCUCUGUGCCUCAACUCUGUCCUCUGUCACUGCAGGCAGCUUCCUCCCAAGGUGAUCUCGAUGGGAUAACCACAUUGGUUUGUUUAGUAAACACUGAGACCAACUCCACCAUCCAGAGGCCUGACAGACAAAUGGCCUGAGACAGGGCUGGGAAAGUUUUGCUUCUGGUUGGGACUUCAGGAAGAGUUUUGUUUUGUUUUGUUUUCCCCCAAGGGAACAAGCCCUUGAAUCCGGGAGGCCGAGGUUGCGGUGAACCGAGAUUGCGCCAUUGCACUCCAGCCUGGGCAACAAGAGCGAAACUCCGUCUCAAAAACAU